AACGAACGCUGGCGGCAUGCCUAACACAUGCAAGUCGAACGAGACCUUCGGGUCUAGUGGCGCACGGGUGCGUAACGCGUGGGAUCUGCCCUUGGGUUCGGGAAUAACUCGCCGAAAGGCGUGCUAAUACCGGAUGAUGUCGUAAGACCAAAGAUUUAUCGCCCAGGGAUGAGCCCGCGUAAGAUUAGGUAGUUGGUGAGGUAAAGGCUCACCAAGCCGACGAUCUUUAGCUGGUCUGAGAGGAUGAUCAGCCACACUGGGACUGAGACACGGCCCAG
rnacentral:rRNA from 1 species